rnacentral:rRNA from 1 species
UACGUAGGUCGCAAGCGUUGUCCGGAUUUACUGGGCGUAAAGAGCGCGCAGGCGGCUGGUCAAGUCCGAUGUGAAAUCUCCCGGCUCAACUGGGAAACUGCAUCGGAAACUGAUCGGCUUGAAGAUGGGAGAGGGUAGUGGAAUUCCCGGUGUAGUGGUGAAAUGCGUAGAUAUCGGGAGGAACACCAGUGGCGAAGGCGGGUCUCUGGACAGUUCCUGACGCUGAGGCACGAAGGUCAGGGGAGCAAACGGG